UACGUAGGGGGCAAGCGUUGUCCGGAAUUAUUGGGCGUAAAGGGCUCGUAGGCGGUUUGUCGCGUCGGGAGUGAAAAACUCAGGGCUCAACCCUGAGCGUGCUUCCGAUACGGGCAGACUGGAGUGCGGUAGGGGAGAAUGGAAUUCCUGGUGUAGCGGUGGAAUGCGUAGAUAUCUGGAGGAACACCGGUGGCGAAGGCGGCCCACUGGCUCGAUACUGACGCUGAGGUGCGAAAGCGUGGGGAGCAAACAGG
rnacentral:rRNA from 1 species